rnacentral:rRNA from 1 species
AUUGAACGCUGGCGGCAGGCCUAACACAUGCAAGUCGAGCGAGCGGCGGACGGGUGAGUAAUGUCUGGGAAACUGCCUGAUGGAGGGGGAUAACUACUGGAAACGGUAGCUAAUACCGCAUACCAUCAGAUGUGCCCAGAUGGGAUUAGCUAGUAGGUGGGGUAACGGCUCACCUAGGCGACGAUCCCUAGCUGGUCUGAGAGGAUGACGAGCCAGACUGGAACUGGGACCCGGUCCAGACGCCUACGGGAGGCAGCAGUGGGAAAUAUUGCCCAAUGGGCGCAAGCCUGAUGCAGCCAUGCCGCGUGUGCGAAGAAGUCCUUCGGGUUGUAAAGCACUUUCAGCGAGGAGGCGUUACUCGCAGAAGAAGCACCGGCUAACUCCGUGCCAGCAGCCGCGGUAAUUC